rnacentral:rRNA from 1 species
UUGAACGCUGGCGGCAUGCUUUACACAUGCAAGUCGAACGCGAAAGGGGGCAACCCUGAGUAGAGUGGCGAACGGGUGAGUAAUGCAUCGGAACGUGUCCUGUAGUGGGGGACAACCCCGAGAAAUCGGGGCUAAUACCCCAUACGUCCUAUGGGAGAAAGUGGGGGACCGCAAGGCCUCACGCUAUAGGAGCGGCCGAUGCCGGAUUAGCUAGUUGGUGAGGUAAAGGCUCACCAAGGCGACGAUCCGUAGCUGGUCUGAGAGGAUGAUCAGCCACACUGGGACUGAGACACGGCCCAGACUCCUACGGGAGGCAGGAGUGGGGAAUUUUGGACAAUGGGCGAAAGCCUGAUCCAGCCAUGCCGCGUGAGUGAAGAAGGCCUUCGGGUUGUAAAGCUCUUUCGGCCGGGACGAAAUCGUCUUCCCUAACACGGGGGGUGGAUGACGGUACCGGAAUAAGAAGCACCGGCUAACUACGU